CAAAAAUUAGCCGCACCACUCCUCUCCUUCACUGUUGCCGUCUCAGGCAAGAAGCCGCCGGCGAAGCCACCCUCUCUCUCUCCUUUUCCGGAGGAAAACCCAACACUGUCGAGAACCCCUCUCUUCUUCUCCUCCCAUUCUCCCUCCGCCUUUUUUUCUUCUACGUACGAUAAGGCCACAGCAACAGGAACGCCACUCCGACUAGUUGUUCCGCCGGCUAAGAAACCAGGCUAUAGCGAAGCCUCUCUCCUCCUCUCUUUUCUUUUUUUCGGCGACAGCGACCCCGACUCCAGCAAGCCAGCAGCCAGCAGAGGCCGCUCCGACCGUGAAGAGUCGGGUGGACUAGAAGCAUCAAGGCUUGGGUUUGCUAAAGAAGAAUCUAUCCCGUCCAGGAUUUUGAACAUAAAGUUCAACUAUGUCGAAGAGUUUGCAUCUGGGACGAAAUUAGUAGUAGUGUUUAGACUUUAUGUGUUAUUUUAUUUGCUUCUGUAAUAAUUUAGAGUAACCCAACUCUCUAUAUGUAUAUAAAACAAUUUGGGGGAGGGGAAUUUACGUGCUACCUCAUGUUAUUUUUUAUUUGUUAAACUUGUGUGUGUAUGUAUUGGUAGUCAAUUAUUUGAUUAUAACUAAAAGAAUAAUGCAUGCUGUUGUAUUACGUAUCACCACCUCCGCAUGUAUUUAAUGUCAGCUAGAAUUUACAUGCUUGUAUAUUUAUUUAUUGCUUUCCUUAAAACUACUGAUGUGUUACUGAUCUCAUUUACGUGCUAAAUGUUAUCGCUUUGAUAACCAUCAUUUCUUUCAUACUUCUCCCAAUUAAGAACCUCUUUUAUUUUUUUUAUUUUUCGUAAUGUUGUGUCUUUGCACCUCUCACAAAAUCCACUUCAAAUACCUUAUACUAAAGAAUUGACAGAUGUGUGGAAGAAGCGAAUACUCUUAUUAUCGUGGUACCGCGAGUCUUCUCGCAUAGAACCUCUUCAAGUCGGUGUCUAUCCAACUCUUAGAAAUUUUAAUUAGGUCAUACAUGUUGUUAAACCUAGAUGAUAUUACCUUUGGUGUCAAACCAUACUAUUAGUAUCACCCUAUAGUCUAAAGGGUCCAACACCCUUACGUGUCAAUGUGAUCAUAACAAUUAAGUCAAGCUAUGUCAAAUCGAGUUAGUAUUUGUUUAUUAUUUUGUUUGUAGAAUGAUGACAUCUCCAUGUUCCGUCAGCCUGCAAAUCAUCAUAAAAGUAAAUUAGAAAUUAAGAUUGGUAGAACGAUAUCAAGAAAAAACAUGAAAUAAGAGAUUCGUCAUUUAUUUGCUGUCCUUUACUCGUUUUUGUUAUUAUACUGGAUCGACAAUUGAUUAGGGCUUUGUUGCAAUUUUGUGACCCCUCGAGAAUGGUCUCCAAGUUUAGUAAUUUUGAAUUGGUACCUAAAAUCGAAGAAAUUAAUGGCUUCAUUGAAUUGUCGUAUCACAGUGUGAGAUUAUUAUACCCGGGACAUUCUAUUAAGUCUAGGAGUGAAGUACAAUCCAAUAUUUACCUACUCCAAUCUUGGGGUGUAAUUCUUUCAACUUUUUGUAUUCAUGCUUCGGCCAUGAAGAUAGUUAUUUUUCUUUUUAUAACAAUUUGAGUGCUUGUCUAGAGAUGGAAAAAAUAUUGUGUAAAUGCCUUUUCCAUAACAUUAUUAGGUUCUCUAGCUUUUUUAAAGUUAGAAGAAAGAUCGAUACUCGCUUGAGGUACGUGGUUCGUGCAUUAGCGCAAGGUAGGGACGGACCUAGAAAAACUAUAGUGCACAUGAUAUUAGCAAAGAUCAUGAGUAGUCUGUCUGCACGUGUUAAUGGUAGAAUACUUUUUGAAGAAUGCAACCUUUUGGUACAAUUGUGGGCCAUUGAACAAUUCUAUAGACGACUUGACAUAAUAGAUCUUCUUAAUGGUAUGAGCAACAAAAUUGAUAGACAUCCAAAAAGAGAGGAAGCUUUAUCGCUCUCGUAGCAUUCAUGAUAUUUUUAGUAGUACACAAUGACUAUCACGUUCAAUGGAUAUGCUUCUCUUCGAGUACUCCGUCAAUUUGGACAAGUUCAAAUGAUACCAUUGCAAUCCAAUAUGGAUCAUUGUAUGACUUUGGACAAAAUUAUUCAGAAGUCCAUAACAUAUUUCGAAGAUGCGAGAGGGUGAUAACUAUAGAUGUGCACGAUGUUCCUGCAGUACACCUGAAUACUACUUAUGGAUUCUCAAAGAGGCUGAGGGUCGGGAAUUAAGUGAAGAAAGGAAAUUAUGGGCUCGCCGAUGACUAAGAAACUAUAUGGGCACACAACUUGUGGGGCCUUGAAAUCGCUCCAUAUGACAUCAAGCUCCUAAGGUUGAUAUUUUCGAGAUUUCAAAAAUUUAGGAUAACUUUCCUAUGUUAUCCCAUUUUCCCCUUAGUUUAUCUCUGCUUUUAUGAUGUAAUAGUUCAAUUUCUAUCCAAUAAAUGAAAGUUUGUUUCUUCUUUAUUAUUGUCUAACCUAAACUCCAAAUUGACAAAUAAGACUUGAAUUAAUCAUUGUGCAUCACUUAUUUUUCGUCUUAGGCCUACCUUUGAAUCAACGAGGGUCCUUGCAUUUUAGGAUAUUUAUUUUAGAAAAAUAAUGUGCUUAUUAUCUUAUUUUCAUGCAAUGUUCUCACUUGGUUUUCUUUAGAUUUCUAUUUUUGUUUAUCCCUCCCCAACUAUUGGUCUGUAGAUCAUGGUUUACCACACACGAUCAAAAUACACUCUUCUUUCUCCUCUUAGUGAUAAUCACAAAGGAAAGAGUAAGAUGAUUAAUAAUAAGGUUAUAGUUGAAGUUGUUGAAGAAUAACAUUUUUCUAAUGAGUUUGUUUCAAGAUUGGAGCAAAAAUAAUGAAAAAAGAGAUAUAUGAUAUGCGCGAGUGAGCUACGUUGUUACCCUCCAUCAAUCGGAGACAAGCUGGUCAUCCAUGUUUGUCUCCAAAGAGAUAUUGAUAUAGAGUAACACCUUAGCCUACUCACGCAUAUUAGAUAUCUAUUCUUCUAACUCCCUUAAUUUUGCUCAAUUCUUGAGACCAACUCAUUCAAAAGAUGCUCUUCUUCAACAGUUUCAACCAUAACCUUAUUACUUUGAUCGUGUGUGGUAGAAAAUGGUCUAUAGAUCAACCAUUGGGGAGGAAUAAACAAAAUAUAAAUCUAAAGAAAACCAAGUUAGAACAUCACAUAGAAAUUAGAUAAUAAACACAUUAUUUUUAAAAAUAAAUGUCCUAAAAUGCUAGAAACCUCGUCGAGUUUGAAGUAGGCCUAAGACAAUAAAUUAGUGAUGAACAAUGAUUAAUUCAAGUCUUAUUUGUCAGUUCGAAGUUUAGGCUAAAGGAUAAUAAAAAGAAGCAAACUUUCAUUUAUUGGAUAAAAAUCAGACUAUUACAUCAUAGAAACUGAAAUAAACUAAGGGUAACAUGGGAAAUUUAUCCUAAGAUUUUGAAAUCUCAAAGAUAUCAAUCCUAGGAGCUUGGUGUCAUCUGCCCUCUUGUAUAUGGAGUGAUUUCAUAUCCAAGGUUCCACAAGUUGUGUGUCCAUGUAUUUUCUCUUUUAUUGACGAGCCCAUAAUAUCCUUCUUCACUUAAUUCUUGAAGGAACGUCAUGCACCCAUAUUUAUAGUUAUCACCCUCUCCCAUCUUUGAAGUAUAUUGACUUCUGGAUCAUUUUAUCCGAAGAUAUACAAUGAUCCAUGUUGGAUUGCAAUGUAUCACUUGAACUUGUCCAACUGACAGAGUACUCGAGGAUGAACAUAUGGUUGGAUGUAUUUUAAGCCAAUAAGGUCAAUGAAAUAACAUUUAUCACCUCUCAGGCUCUCACUAUGGCAUGGGGGAUAUAUAGCAAAUAGAGUUUUCAUUGAAUGUGAUAGUUCAUUGUGUUCUAUCAAAAUUAUCUACGAAUCCCACAAGGGCGGUGAAACCUUUUAUUCUUCUUAGAUGACUAUCAAUUUUACUGACCAUAUCAUUGAGGAAAUCUAUCAUGUCCAGCCAUCUAUGGAAAUGUUCGAUCGCCCAUAAUUGUAGCAAAAUGUUGCAUCCUUCAAAAAAGAUUCUACCAUUUACACAUGCAGGCAGAUUCCUUAUGAUCUACCAUUACACAUGUGCAUUAUAGUUUUCGUAGGAUCUCGUCCCUUACGCUAAUGCAUGAACCAUGUACCUCAAAUAGGUAUCAAACUUUC
rnacentral:lncRNA from 1 species